UUGAUUUUGACUUUUAUCCUACAUGGAUAACUGUGGUAAUUCUGGAGCUAAUACAUGCAUAAAAGAUGUUUCUUUAUUAAAACAUUGCGUAUAUUAGUAUUAAAACCAAGCAUUCUUCGGAAUGUUUUGUGUUGAAACUGAAUAUAUCUGCUGAUCGUAUGGUCUUGUACCGACGACAUGUCAUUCAAGUGUCUGAUCUAUCAACUUUCUAUAUAAGCAUAUAGUACUUAUAUGGUUUUGACGGAUAACGGGGUAUUAGGGUACGACUCCGGAGAAAAUGCCUGAGAAACGGCGUUUACAUCCAAGGAAGGCAGCAGGCGCGAAAAUUACCCACUCUCAGUACGAGGAGGUAGUGACGAGAAAUGACAAGAUCUAUUCCUUCGGGGAUGGAUCAUUGGAAUGGUUUGAUUUUAAAAUCAUUAAAGAGUAUCAAUGAGAGGGCAAGUCUGGUGCCAGCAGCCGCGGUAAUUCCAGCUCUCAUACUGCAUUGAAUUGUUGUUGCGGUUAAAAAGCUCGUAGUUGGAUCUGUACAUGAUAGGUUAGUUUAUUCUUUACGGAAUAUAACUAAUACUAAAUGUUUUUUGUUAGAUUUUUUUAUGGUUCGUAAGGAUCAUAAAAUGUCUAACGAGCUUACUUUGAAUAAAUCAGAGUGCUCAAAACAGGCGUAAGCUUGUAUGGUUUUGCAUGGAAUAAUAGAACAUGACUAUGGUUCAUGUUUUAUUGGUUUUACUUACCAUAGUAAUGAUUAAAAGGAACAAACGGGGGCAUCCGUAUCGCAGGGCGAGAGGCGAAUUCGUGGACCCUUGCGAGACGAACUACAGCGAAAGCAUUUGCCAAGAAUG
rnacentral:rRNA from 1 species